UACGGAGGGUGCAAGCGUUAUCCGGAUUCACUGGGUUUAAAGGGUGCGUAGGCGGACAGGUAAGUCAGUGGUGAAAUCUCUGGGCUUAACUCAGAAACUGCCGUUGAUACUAUUUGUCUUGAAUAUCAUGGAGGUAAGCGGAAUAUGUCAUGUAGCGGUGAAAUGCUUAGAUAUGACAUAGAACACCAAUGGCGAAGGCAGCUUACUACAUGGAGAUUGACGCUGAGGCACGAAAGCGUGGGGAGCAAACAGG
rnacentral:rRNA from 1 species